GACGAACCGAGCGAACGUUAUUCGGAAUCACUGGGCUUAAAGCGUGUGUAGGCGGGCGGGCAAGUACCUUGUGAAAUCCCACGGCUCAACCGUGGAACUGCUGGGUAUACUGCCUGUCUUGAGCCAGCUAGGGGCGAGCGGAACAGACGGUGGAGCGGUGAAAUGCGUAGAUAUCAUUUGGAACGCCAAUGGUGAAAACAGGUAGCUGGGGCUGUGCUGACGCUGAGACACGAAAGCCAGGGGAGCAAACGGG
rnacentral:rRNA from 1 species